rnacentral:lncRNA from 1 species
CUCCAGGCAAAGGUGUCCCCCUGGGCAGCCAGCAGGAGGCUGCAAGCCACUCCAGGUCCCCCUCAGCUCACCUGGGCACCUGUGUCACUCACUACCUUCGCCCUAUGCCAUCAGGCCAUGGGGCCCAGCCUGCAGAUGAUGCUGGGACCCAGGAGAGGUGAGAUGUGCCCACAACCCCCGGAGCCCCUGGGCCUCACUCUCCCCUAGAACCAGACUGCGCUACCCACCAGGAGACACGACCUGCUGCCAGAGACAGAGCUACCUGCCCCCCUUCUGCUCUGCCUGUGACUAUUUGCCCACUGUCUCUUUCAUGUUGCUAAUCGCCCAGCCCCGCCUAAUUGGUAAUUAGCCUUGAGAGCCCAGCCUGUGCUUGGCUAAUUGCUGUUUGUCUCACCCUCAUCUCCGGCAGGCAGCGGAGCCAGUGCCAGCCCAGCCGCCUGGGCUCUAUCCGGGCUGCUGGCAUCCGUGCUAGGCUCCAUGGAGGCUUCUGCAGCCCCACCCUGCUCUCUUCCAGAGGGCCCAGGGUGCAGCCUCUCCUGAAGCUGAAGCUGUGUCUGCCUUGAGGGUGGUCCUGACAGUCCUGGGCAGCUUCAGAUUGUGACCCAGCUUUCAUGCAUAUUCCAUACUGUUAUAGAAAAAGAUGGCCACCUGGAUGUGGCUGCGCAUGUCUGUGAUCCCAGCACUGCAGGAGGCUGAGGCAGGAGGAUGGCAAGUUUGAGUCCAGCCUGGGCCACUUAGUGAGAGUCUGUCUCAAAAUAAAAGAUAAAAAGGGCGUUAGAGAUGUAGCUCAGUGCAGAGGCCCUGAGGCCAAUCUCCUAGACUGGAAAGGAAAGAAGGAAGAAAGGAAGGAAAGCGAGAAGAAGAUGGCCAUGAAGGAGCCACGGUCCCUGCUGCUGUGGAGGAUCUGGGAGGGCUCCGAGGAGGAGGUGGUGUCUUGCACGGGGUCCAGGAUUUAACCAUCAGAAAAGGCAGGACGGACCUGCAGGCAGGGGAGAGCCCAGGCCACUUGCAAAAGGAGGCUCCAAGGCAGGGCCGGAUGAAGGCGGUUGGAGGACUGGAGGCACCUGGUGUGGUGUGGCUGAGGGUCCAGGCCAUGGAGAGGAAGGAGACUGGAAAGGAUGCAGGCCUGGAGAGAGGAGGACCUGCUCUGGGUGCCAGGGCAAAGCCCACCUCUUCCAGGGAGCCAUCCUGGAUUUUGUAAGCCUCUCCUUGCUUGCUGGAGGCGAGCUCUUCGGUAGACUUGAUUUUGCAUCUUGUGGCAGCACACACACGCUGUCCACACUGCCAUGGACUCCCCUGGAUGGGUCUUGUUCUCCCUGCUGGUCAGCAAGUGUGCUGAAUCCCUCGGUCAGCUUUGGUCCAUCUCCCAGCCUGGCUCAGUGCACAGCGCAAGCACCUGCCCCAAGUGCAGGGAGGACCUCACCCUGGCCAUGUGGGACUUGAGUGGCUCCUGGCUGUCCCUCAGACUCAAGUCCACCCCUGGAAGCAGAGAGUGGCAGUGCUGAGAUCCUUCCAGAGCAGGAGUGUUCCAGACUGGGAGCCUCCCAGAAGGGGAAGGCUGCUUUGAAAAGGACCGCAUGUGGUAAGAGGAGCAAGUGCU